UCCCUGGUGGUCUAGUGGCUAAGACUCUGCGAUUCUACUGCAGGAGAUGUGGGUUCCAUUCCUGGUUGGGGAA
rnacentral:tRNA from 1 species